GCGCUGCUGCCGGAGAAGGGUGACCGGGACUGCCACUUGCUGCGGGAUCAGCGGGCGGGGCUGCUGCCAGGGAGCCAGCGGGCGAAAGCCCGCCUCCGCCAGCACCAGGCUCCCCGAGCGAGCACUCCCACCUAGAUGCUAAUUCCUACUGCUGUCUUCAAAACUAAGAAAGCCCUUAAUCCAGUGGCUUUCAAUGCUGACCUGCAGAGCACCUGCGUGGAGUCAAAACAGCACUGGCUGAUCACCUAGAUGAUGAGGAUAUUCACUGCUUAAGAAUAACUUACUUGUUCUGAACUUUCCCUCAAUUCUGCCAGAGCUGCUGCUUCAAGCCAUCCACCAGCAAGGAAUCGAGGCAUCUGGCCACUGUCCUGCAUACUUCUGAGUUUUUACAACUAUCACAAUUGCUGAAUGGAAAGUACCUGUGUGUGAAGGGUCUUGGUUCAUUGUAUUACCUAUCAGGCUAGAAGUCUGCGUUUAGAUGUGGCCUGAGCUAAAUCUGGGGUCUAAUUACAGUGUAGAAAAAAAUAGCAGUGCAAAAUGUUACAAAUUUUUAACAGCUAGAGUAAGUGUAACCUACUUUCUCCAAAUACUGUCUAUACAAGAAGAUCUUGGUUUAUCUGAACUAUUUGCAGAGCUGGAAGCAUCAGGAUUACUGCACUCUUAAAAUCAAGUGGAAUGAAGAAAAGACUGUUGUAGCUGUGAAAUGUAUUCAUUAAAUAUUUAUUAUUAUUUGUCCUAAACUAUUUAUUAAUAUUUGUCCUAAACCAAUUGGGUGAUACAAAGACUAUACUCACUAAGAGUAAGCGCUAAAAUUCUGAGAAUGAUGUAUUUUAUUUCUCUCACAAAACAGAAACAGAAUAUUUAUCAAAAUCAUUGCUAAUGGUAUUUAAAAAGAGAUGAAAAAGAAAGUGAUUUUAAAAUAAAAGUACUCUUACUUUUAGCUUGAUUACCUAAAGAAAUAAUGUUCUUGCAAUCAUA